rnacentral:misc_RNA from 1 species
GAUGAAGAACGUAGCGAAAUGCGAUAAGUAAUGCGAAUUGCAGAAUUUCCGUGAGUCAUCGAAUCUUUGAACGCACAUUGCGCCCUGUGGUAUUCCGCAGGGCAUGCCUGUUCGAGCGUCAUUUCAACCCUCAAGCUCUGCUUGGUGUUGGGCCCUGCCCGCUCGCGGCCGGCCCUAAAGACAGUGGCGGUGCCGUCUGGCUCUAAGCGUGGUACAUCUCUCGCUCUGGUGCCCGGCGGUGUCCUGCCAGAACCCCCCAACUCUGUGGUUGACCUCGGAUCAGGUAGGGAUACCCGCUGAACUUAAGCAUAUCAAUAAGCGGAGGA